AAAAAAUUUAAUGUUGACGAUUUUGAAUAGCAGUGAAAUUAAGCUUCUUGGUUAUUACAGCAGAUUUAGAAAUUACGUUCGUUUCAUUUUUUAAAUCGCUUUAUCAUUAACUGUACCGUUAAGAGCGGCAUCUUUUGGUUUAGUACAAAUAAUAUCUCUGAAUCACUCGGAUUAGACAGGAACAUGAUACUUGCAGUAGUUUCAUUUUACUUUUACAAGGUUCUUAAAACGAUUGUUGAGCUACCUAACGUGCUUAUUUCUAAAUUCAAUUUCUUGUUCUAGCUUUCUGUUAUGUUUCGUAAAAAAAGUAGUCUUGAUUAUCCCGACCUGUCAAUCAGACGUAGAAUGGUCGAUAGACUGGUUAAGCGAGACUAAUUUCAAAACAAGGGCACGUAACCUAUCUUUUACUCAAAAGUGUCUGGAUGUAAUGGACGACACUUGGAACCAGUUUUCAGUCUAUUAUUUAUAGAUGAUUAAUGGUCAUAGCUUAUUAAGUACAACAUGAUCGUUUAUUUAGUGACUAUAAUUGUGUGAAACUGAUUUGAGGCUUGGCAUAUAUAUAAAUAUUGUGGCGUAAUUGUCGAGAUAUAAGGAGAUAUAUGGAGAUAUUUAUUUAUGGUGCCAGGGUAAUGUUUCAUGGAGUGGAAUAAUUGACCUCAACACAAGUAUUAAAAUAAAAGAAGCAAAACAGGUCUACAUCUCAAAACCCGAUGACUUCCUGGACAGGCUUUAGUAGAACGAUGAUGCAUAUCAAUUUCAUCCCUGAUCUCUAUGACACCUGUGAUGGAUGUGGAGGGCAAAUCGUAAUCAGUUUGGGUUCCAGCCAAAAACCUCUGUAAACUCUGCUUUUUGGUGAUGACUUUGUUUCCGAGCUUAAAAAGGACACCCUUGUGUUUAUCAUAUCAUAUUUCUCAUAUUGGAAGAUAACAUAAAUGGCUUGCGUGUUGACGGUUGUGCAUAUCUCUUGGUCAGGGAAGUUGUAGGCACCAUCGCCAUUGUAAAUCAUUUGACAUGCCAGAGUGAACAGGGAGACCUAUGAUUGGUCAGCAAUGUAUCAGAUUCCAUACUGGGGGGUGGGGAUGAAAAAACUGUUGUAGUGUUAGAUAAUCAGAUUAUUUCAACUUACUUAUCCUGUGGAAAUACAGUUGUAUAGGAGUUAUUUUAAAAUUGAUAGGCACUGCAUGUUUCAACAUCUUAGAUUUGACCACAAUUUGGCACUUGAAACUAUGUUAACAGAGAAAAACUGUGAGGUUUUCGAUGAAAGUGUUAAAAGUCUAAUAUUGCAUCAUGAUUACCGUUUUAAAGUAUUUUUGUGUUUGAUUUAUAUUGAAUUCAUCUCAUCUUUUUGAAGAAUGCAUUUAUGUUCAAAAAUAAAAAUGUUCUGUGGAAUUAAAAAAUCAUGUGCUUUUAAAUUAUCAGAUUCCAAACUGGGGGUGGGGAUGAAAAAGCUGUUGUAGUUGUAGUGUUACAUAAUCAGAUUAUUUCAACUUACUUAUCCUUUAGAAAUACAACUAUAUAGGAGAUAUUUUAAAAUUGAUAGGCACUACGUGUUUCAAAAUCUUAGAUUUGACCACAAUUUGGCACUUGAAACUACGUUAACAGAGAAAAACUAUGCGGUUUUCGAUGAAAGUGUUAAAAAGUCUAAUAUUGCAUCAUGAUUACUGUUUUAAAGUAUUUGUGUGUUUGAUUUAUAUUGAAUUUAUCUCAUCUUUUUACAGAAUGCAUUUAUGUUCAAAAAUAAAAAUGUUCUGUUCAA